rnacentral:rRNA from 1 species
CAGCAGUCAAGAAUAUUAGUCAAUGGCCUAACGGCUGAACUGGCAACUUGGAGAAGUGGCAAGUCUUCCAGUAUGGGGAGCAAAACAGCUAUGGGUCAAGUCCGAUAUCUUUAGGAGGCGCGAAGCUCCUCUUAUUGUGAGGGCGAGUUUUAUAACACCAUAGGACUGGCCGUCCCAUAUGAAAAGAUUAUAUUAGAAUUGAAUGAAGCUUUGUUUAUAUAUUGAUAAUGACAGUAUAUAUAUCGUGUCUUGACUAAUUGCGUGCCAGCAGUCGCGGUAAUACGUAAGAGACUAGUGUUAUUCAUCUUAAUUAGGUUUAAAGGGUACCCAGACGGUCAAUAUAGCUUAUAAAAUGUUAGUACUUGACUAGAGUUUUAUGUAAGAGGGCAGUACUUGAGGAGGAGAGAUGAAAUUUCGUGAUACCAAAGGGACUCUGUAAAGGCGAAGGCAGCCCUCUAUGUAAAAACUGACGUUGAAGGACGAAGGCACAGAGAACAAACAGGAUUAGAUACCCAAGUAGUCUUUGCAGUAAAUGAUGAAUGCCAUAGGUUAGAUGGGUGGGUAGUUGUAGUUGAGUUAAUUUAGCAAACUAAUGAUCUAGACUAGCCCACCAUAUAUUUGGUCUAUAAAUGAAAGUGUAAGCAUUUCACCUCAAGAGUAAUGUGGCAACGCAGGAACUGAAAUCACUAGACCGUUUCUGACACCAGUAGUGAAGUAUGUUAUUUAAUUCGAUAAUCCGC